rnacentral:pre_miRNA from 1 species
AAAAAGACAAACCCUGGGUUUCCGUGUCCAAUGUUUGACUGUCCGUCUUAUAUGAAAUUUUUUUAUAAUUAGUAUUUUCAUUGUUGUUAGAUGAUAAAACAUGAUUAAUACUUUAUGCAUGACUUGUCUUUUUAAUUUUUUUAUAACUAGCAAUAGUGCUCGUGCGUUGCAACGGGAAAAACACCGUU